rnacentral:tRNA from 1 species
CUCCCGUUAGUAUAGUGGUCAGUAUCCCCGCCUGUCACGCGGGAGACCGGGUUCAAUUCCCCGACGGGGAGA